rnacentral:rRNA from 1 species
UACGAAGGGGGCUAGCGUUGUUCGGAGUUACUGGGCGUAAAGGGCGCGUAGGCGGUCGUGACAAGUCACUUGUGAAAUCUCCGGGCUUAACUCGGAACGGUCAAGUGAUACUGUCGGACUAGAGUACAGAAGGGGCAACUGGAAUUCUCGGUGUAGCGGUGAAAUGCGUAGAUAUCGAGAGGAACACCUGCGGCGAAGGCGGGUUGCUGGGCUGAUACUGACGCUGAGGCGCGAAAGCCAGGGGAGCGAACGGG